AGGUAUCGGUAAAUGUCUAUCUAGUUUCUGCCCAGAGGGAAAAGCUGCAAGAUUUACCAGGCUGAGUCACAGGUCUUCUUCAUGGGAAGUCAUACUGAAUCCAUCUUCAUAAAGCAGCUGGACCCUGUCAAAGAUAAAAGGUGAACUGGCUCUGGUCCUGACUCAGAGGCUACUAUUAAUGAUUUAUGAUUCUGAACUAUCGAGGAGACUACAGUUAGAUAUUAUGGUGAGCAAAGAGACUAUGGAAUGCCUGUAUCUCUCCUCCUCCUCUGCCAUCACAUGACAUGCGGAGAGCCCAAAGCCAGCACUGACUUUCCUGUGUCCUGUAUCUGCAGUCAUCUUUGUUUGCCCUCAAAAGAGUUAGUGAUUUAUAGGAGGAAAACAAAGAAAAAAAUAUCAAACGCAUGUUUAAACUGUACUUAGAAGAUUUUUCUUUCUUUAAAUAGAAAGCUA